rnacentral:rRNA from 1 species
AUGGCAGCCAAGCUCAAGCUCUUCGAGGAGAUCCUCGGGUGGUCCGAGGCCGAGGUGGCCAAGGUGGUGAGGAUGAACCCAACGGUGCUGAGGAUCUCUGGGGAGAAGCUUCGCCGUGUUAAGGAGUUCCUGACCAAGGUGGUCGGUGUUGACACCAGGUACAUCCUUACCAGGCCCUCAAUCCUGAUGUACAGCCUGGAGUGCCGACUUGUCCCUCGGCAUUACGUGAUGAAGGUGCUCCAGGAGAAAGGAUUGAUUCAGAAAGAUCAGAGCUUCUACCCGAUGGUCACGGCUAGUGAGAACACGUUUCAGCUCAAGUAUAUAGAUGCUCAUAGGCAUGUUCUUCCAGGCCUUGCCGAUGCCUACGCAGCUGCUUGCCAAGGGAAACUGCGAACUGAAGUUGCGGUAUGA